rnacentral:rRNA from 1 species
UACAGAGGUGGCAAGCGUUGUUCGGAAUUACUGGGCGUAAAGGGCGAGUAGGCGGCCUUCUAAGUCAGACGUGAAAUCCCCCGGCUUAACCUGGGAACUGCGUCUGAUACUGGGAGGCUUGAGUAUGGGAGAGGGAUGUAGAAUUCCAGGUGUAGCGGUGAAAUGCGUAGAUAUCUGGAGGAAUACCGGUGGCGAAGGCGGCAUCCUGGACCAUUACUGACGCUGAAUCGCGAAAGCGUGGGGAGCGAACAGG